rnacentral:rRNA from 1 species
AGCGAACGCUGGCGGCAGGCCUAACACAUGCAAGCCGAACGAAGUCUUCGGACUUAGUGGCGGACGGGUGAGUAACACGUGGGGACGUGCCUUUAGGUUCGGAAUAACUCAGGGAAACUUGUGCUAAUACCGAAUGUGCCCUUCGGGGGAAAGAUUUAUCGCCUUUAGAGCGGCCCGCGUCUGAUUAGCUAGUUGGUGGGGUAAUGGCCCACCAAGGCUACGAUCAGUAGCUGGUCUGAGAGGAUGACCAGCCACAUUGGGACUGAGACACGGCCCAAGCUCCUACGGGAGGCAGCAGUGGGGAAUUUUGCGCAAUGGGCGAAAGCCUGACGCAGCCAUGCCGCGUGGAUGAUGAAGGUCUUAGGAUUGUAAAAUCCUUUCACCGGUGAAGAUAAUGACUGUAGCCGGAGAAGAAGCCCCGGCUAACUUCGUGCCAGCCGCCGCCGUAA